GCACUGGUAUAGCUCAGUGGUUACUUCUCUGAAACUCAUACGAAUGAACCUCAGCCCUCCCUCAAUCGAGGGAUCGACCCAUGGGCGCUGUCCAGUGUUUUU
ensembl:vault_RNA Vault Vault RNA